UAGGGAACAGCUCACACAGGUGUGGUUGAUGUGUCUCAUUAUUAACAUCAGUUAGAUUUCCUGCACGUGAAAAGCACGUGACGGCUGGCUUGCUCGCCUCUGGAUGAAUGACCUUCUCAUGGCACUUGGAAGACUUCUCAGAGAAUCUGCAAGAAAAACGGCCCUCUACUGAAACCACUUGUUUUGAUGGAUCAAACGUUGGUUCAAGAUGGGAGCCUCGCCACAGGGCAUCCACAGCCUAUACUGUUGGACAAAUCGACCGUUCCAUGGGGACAAAUGCUACCAGUGGGCCAGGAUCAAAUUCUGUCAGCCUCGUUUCAAACCAAGGAAGACAACUGCAUAAACAAACAAUCUGCAUUUAGGAACUUCACUUUAGGUUCUUUUACACAGUCAGCUUUAAGUCACAUGUUACCAGAAAUGGGAUCAGUACCAUCUUGUGGUGUGACUUCUGGGCCAACUGAUCCUGAUGGCAUUCGUUUUAAUGAAACCUAUGCUCCACAAGAAUUAAACUGUGCUUUAAGAAACGCUGAUUUCUUAUUAGAACAUAGCGAGUCGCACCUCCUUGAUCAACACGGCAGGAGAGAAGCAGAGAAUUUGACAAACCAAAAAUUAAUUUCAGUGUCUCAAAACCAAACUCCAACUGCAUGUUCUAAUGAUCUGAUAUCUGUAGACAGAACUAAUACCCAGUCAGAAGUUGCUUGUAAGUCAUUUGUCCUGGAUGCCGACAGUAACUUUGAUGCAGUCAGUCCCCAAUGGCUAGAUUUGUUUCUGGAUGGUAGAGGGAACUUGUGCUUUCCUGAUACUAAUCUUGAAGAAUCUGUAUUUUCACCUAAAACAGGAUCUAUUUAAUCAAUAAGCUGGAAAGGGAGCCUUAUUUUUUUUUUUUUUUACUUGUACAGCUGAUGUUGUGCCAGAACUCCUCACAUGCUUAGCAUUCAGUAUGUAUGUAUGCUCUAUAGUAGGGUAGGCAAGAAGGUAUCAGAUUAAGGUUUUGUUUGAGGUUUCUGUAUAGAAUAACAUUCAUAUUUGCCUCCGAAUUUGUUCAAAAGUCUUGCAGAGAAAUAACAGAAAUGUUCAUUUCAUUUUCAUGUGAAAAACAAAAAAAUCUACAAAGACUUUUUUUUUUUUUUAGUUUAUAUUUAUAUUGUUCAUAGACUCUAAUUUGGAUAGCAGCUAAUUACCUGGUUUUGUUCUACAAAAAAGAAUGCAUCUUGUAAUUGUCUUUUUGCUAAAAUAAACUCGAUGUUUUGACUCCUA